rnacentral:misc_RNA from 1 species
GAACGCAUAUUGCGCUCUUUGGUAUUCCGAAGAGCAUGCUUGUUUGAGUAUCAGUAAACACCUCAACCUCCUCUUGAUUUUUCAAAAGGAGGGUGGACUUGAGCUAUCCCAACAACCUUUAUCGGUCGGCGGGCGGCUUGAAAUGCAGGUGCAGCUGGACUUUUAUCUGAGCUAAAAGCAUAUCUAUUUAGUCCUCGUCAAACAGGAUUAUUACUUUUGCUGCAGCUAACAUAAAGGAUAAUUGUCCUCUUUGCUGACUGAUGCAGGAUUUUACGACACUUUAUGUGUUGUUCAACUCGAUCUCAAAUCAAGUAAGACUACCCGCUGAACUUAAG